rnacentral:lncRNA from 1 species
CUUUAAAGAAAUCAUAAAAAAAUAACAUAGAAAUUCAAAAAAUAUACUUAAAUAAAAAUCUUAAUAAAAUAUUAAAAUAAAAAUCUUAAUUAAAUUCCAAUCAAAAUCUUAAUCAAAUUUUAGUCAAACCUUGGUCAAAUCCUUAUCAAAUCCUAAUCAAUCCCUAAAUAAGCCUUAACCAAAUCCUAGUCAAAUCUUAAUCAAAUCCUAAUCAAAUCCUAGUCAAAUCUUAAUCAAAUCCUAAUCAAAUCCUAAAUAAACUCUAGUCAAAUCCUACACAAAUCUUAAAUAAGUCCUAAUAAAAUUCUAGUCAAAUCAUAGUCAAAUUUUAAUCAAAUCCUAAAAAAAUCCUAAUCAAAUCUUUAAAAAACUCUAAAUAAGCUCUAACCAAACUCUAGACAAAUCUCUGUCAAAUUUUAAUCAAAUCCUAAUCAAAUUCUAAACAAAUUCUAAUAAAAUCUUAGUCAAACCUUAAAAAAAUCCUAAAUAAGUCUUAACCAAAUUCUAAACAAAUCUUAGCCAAAUUCUAGUUAAAUCCUAAUUAAAUCUUAAUAAAAUCCUUAACAAAUCAUAACCAAACUCUAAAUAAAUCCUAAACAAGCUCUGUACAAAUUCUAAAUAAUUCCUAGAUAAAUCCUAAUCUUAAUUUUAAUCAAACUUUAAAUCAAAUCCAAAUCCUAAUUCUAAUUUUAAUCAAACCUUAAAUCAAUCCAAAAUCCUAAUUUUAACCCUAAACUAAACCUUAAUCAAUCCUAAGUAAUUCUUAUAGUAGUUUUAAACCUCAAUAACUAAAGAAUGAACUAUUGAUUUCAACUCAAAUUUUGCACACCUUUUAAUAAUUAAAUUAACAAAAAGUACAAAAAAAAUUUGAAAAAACUCAAAAUUACUAAAUAGACAAUAAUAUCAAAAAUAUGCUUGGAUGUUAGCUAGCUUUCUUCUCUAACAUUGAUGCCAAUCUUUCAGAGCCAAUUACUCUUGUUUGAACUAUUAUUUUACUUCUAAACUUUACAUACUUAUUAGAAAUCAAAUUGAUUACCUCUAUAAAAAAAAUUGCUUCAAUUGAACUAGCAAAUUGAUAGAUAUC